UACAGAGGUCCCAAGCGUUGUUCGGAUUCACUGGGCGUAAAGGGUGCGUAGGCGGCCGGGUAAGUCUGCUGUGAAAUCCCGCAGCUCAACUGCGGAACUGCAUUGGAUACUAUCCGGCUAGAGGAAUGGAGGGGAGACUGGAAUUCUCGGUGUAGCAGUGAAAUGCGUAGAUAUCGAGAGGAACACCAGUGGCGAAGGCGAGUCUCUGGACAUUUCCUGACGCUGAGGCACGAAAGCCAGGGGAGCAAACGGG
rnacentral:rRNA from 2 species